rnacentral:piRNA from 1 species
UAGGUUGAUGGUAAUUGGAAGAGCUUCUGG